rnacentral:lncRNA from 1 species
UUAUAAAUUAUAAAGCGUACUCAUUUCCCCUGUGUCUUCCUGGGAAUUUAACUUAGUCUCAGAGGCCCAAUGGGCUGAGUGUGGUGGAUUUUGCAUUUCAAAGUUAAGCCCUAAACCCAGCAAACAACCAAGUAAAGAUGGUUAUUAACCCAACUCAGACUGACUCUGAGUUUAUCCAUUUUUCUAGGACUAUUUAAGAAACAACUGAGGCAUCAGACCAACUUUCCCCACAAGUCCUCGGAUCUUUCCUGCCAUGCUGAUGCCAUAUAUUCCAACGUGAUCAACCUGGCUCCCCAGAAGGAGGACGACUUUGCUGUCUACACCAACAUGCCCCCUUUUCAUCACCCCAGGAGGACAUUGCCAGACCAAGUGGAAUAUGUCUCCAUUGUAUUCCACUGAUGGGAAGCUAAUGAGAUGCUCAGAGUGGGGGUCAGACCUGGCCCCAGCUGAAUCUUGGCAUACCCUUUGCUUUAGAUUUAUGUGUGUGUUUAA